rnacentral:lncRNA from 1 species
AUCAAUCAGGGAUACCCAUGCUGGACUUCGAAUAAAGAUUAAACUCCAGGUCUGAGAGCCAGAUAACAGCCCUCCUCAAGAUAACCAGUCAAGUUUGGCACUGCAGGCCCUGAGCCAUUUUGGUCCACCCUGCUUUGACCCCACCCCUUGUCCACAUCAGCUCCUGUGAAGCCACCCCAGAAGAAAACCACUAUUCGUUCACAUUGGCUGAUUGAUGCUCCAUACGUCCAAACCUUCCAGUCCUCAAGAAACAAGUAUGGCUGAGUUCUGGGUAAAAGUGGAGAACAUGACCCUCUCCUCACUCUGUGCCAUGUUUUAUAUAAGAAAUAAAUUAAAAGUAUAUAAAAACACA